rnacentral:rRNA from 1 species
GACGAACGCUGGCGGCGUGCUUAACACAUGCAAGUCGAGCGAGGCCCCUCCUUCGGGAGGGUGUCCUAGCGGCGAACAGGUGAGUAACACGUGGGCAACCUGCCCUCAGCUCUGGGAUAACUCCGGGAAACCGGGGCUAAUACCGGAUACGACCUCCACGGGCAUCUGCGGAGGUGGAAAGUUUUUCGGCUGAGGAUGGGCCCGCGGCCUAUCAGCUAGUUGGUGGGGUAGUGGCCCACCAAGGCGACGACGGGUAGCCGGCCUGAGAGGGCGACCGGCCACACUGGGACUGAGACACGGCCCAGACUCCUACGGGAGGCAGCAGUGGGGAAUAUUGCGCAAUGGGCGAAAGCCUGACGCAGCGACGCCGCGUGAGGGACGAAGGCCUUCGGGUUGUAAACCUCUUUCAGCAGGGACGAAGCGAAAGUGACGGUACCUGCAGAAGAAGCACCGGCCAACUACGUG